rnacentral:rRNA from 1 species
AAGCCAAGCUUGCUUGGUGGAUCAGUGGCGAACGGGUGAGUAACACGUGAGCAACCUGCCCUGGACUCUGGGAUAAGCGCUGGAAACGGCGUCUAAUACUGGAUAUGAGCUCCUUCCGCAUGGUGGGGGUUGGAAAGAUUUUUCGGUCUGGGAUGGGCUCGCGGCCUAUCAGCUUGUUGGUGAGGUAAUGGCUCACCAAGGCGUCGACGGGUAGCCGGCCUGAGAGGGUGACCGGCCACACUGGGACUGAGACACGGCCCAGACUCCUACGGGAGGCAGCAGUGGGGAAUAUUGCACAAUGGGCGGAAGCCUGAUGCAGCAACGCCGCGUGAGGGAUGACGGCCUUCGGGUUGUAAACCUCUUUUAGCAGGGAAGAAGCGAAAGUGACGGUACCUGCAGAAAAAGCGCCGGCUAACUACGUGCCAGCAGCCGCGGUAAUACGUAGGGCGCAAGCGUUAUCCGGAAUUAUUGGGCGUAAAGAGCUCGUAGGCGGUUUGUCGCGUCUGCUGUGAAAUCCCGAGGCUCAACCUCGGGCCUGCAGUGGGUACGGGCAGACUAGAGUGCGGUAGGGGAGAUUGGAAUUCCUGGUGUAGCGGUGGAAUGCGCAGAUAUCAGGAGGAACACCGAUGGCGAAGGCAGAUCUCUGGGCCGUAACUGACGCUGAGGAGCGAAAGGGUGGGGAGCAAACAGGCUUAGAUACCCUGGUAGUCCACCCCGUAAACGUUGGGAACUAGUUGUGGGGACCAUUCCACGGUUUCCGUGACGCAGCUAACGCAUUAAGUUCCCCGCCUGGGGAGUACGGCCGCAAGGCUAAAACUCAAAGGAAUUGACGGGGACCCGCACAAGCGGCGGAGCAUGCGGAUUAAUUCGAUGCAACGCGAAGAACCUUACCAAGGCUUGACAUAUACGAGAACGGGCCAGAAAUGGUCAACUCUUUGGACACUCGUAAACAGGUGGUGCAUGGUUGUCGUCAGCUCGUGUCGUGAGAUGUUGGGUUAAGUCCCGCAACGAGCGCAACCCUCGUUUUAUGUUGCCAGCACGUAAUGGUGGGAACUCAUGGGAUACUGCCGGGGUCAACUCGGAGGAAGGUGGGGAUGACGUCAAAUCAUCAUGCCCCUUAUGUCUUGGGCUUCACGCAUGCUACAAUGGCCGGUACAAAGGGCUGCAAUACCGUAAGGUGGAGCGAAUCCCAAAAAGCCGGUCCCAGUUUGGAUUGAGGUCUGCAACUCGACCUCAUGAAGUCGGAGUCGCUAGUAAUCGCAGAUCAGCAACGCUGCGGUGAAUACGUUCCCGGGUCUUGUACACACCGCCCGUCAAGUCAUGAAAGUCGGUAACACCUG